rnacentral:rRNA from 1 species
UACAGAGGUCUCAAGCGUUGUUCGGAUUCAUUGGGCGUAAAGGGUACGUAGGUGGCGGGGUAAGUCAGGUGUGAAAUUUCGGAGCUUAACUCCGAAACUGCAUUUGAUACUGCCUUGCUUGAGGACUGGAGAGGAGACUGGAAUUCACGGUGUAGCAGUGAAAUGCGUAGAGAUCGUGAGGAAGACCAGUGGCGAAGGCGGGUCUCUGGACAGUUCCUGACACUGAGGCACGAAGGCCAGGGGAGCAAACGGG